AUACGUAGGGUGCAAGCGUUAAUCGGAAUUACUGGGCGUAAAGCGUGCGCAGGCGGUUCGGAAAGAAAGAUGUGAAAUCCCAGGGCUCAACCUUGGAACUGCAUUUUUAACUACCGGGCUAGAGUAUGUCAGAGGGAGGUGGAAUUCCGCGUGUAGCAGUGAAAUGCGUAGAUAUGCGGAGGAACACCGAUGGCGAAGGCAGCCUCCUGGGAUAAUACUGACGCUCAGGCACGAAAGCGUGGGGAGCAAACAGGAUUAGAUACCCUGGUAGUCCACGCCCUAAACGAUGUCAACUAGCUGUUGGGUUCUUCGGGACUUAGUAGCGCAGCUAACGCGUGAAGUUGACCGCCUGGGGAGUACGGUCGCAAGAUUAAA
rnacentral:rRNA from 1 species